rnacentral:rRNA from 1 species
UACGGAGGGUGCAAGCGUUAUCCGGAUUCACUGGGUUUAAAGGGUGCGUAGGCGGGCAGGUAAGUCCGCGGUGAAAUCCUGGGGCUUAACCCCAGAACUGCCGUUGAUACUAUCUGUCUUGAGUAUUGUGGAGGUGAGCGGAAUAUGUCAUGUAGCGGUGAAAUGCUUAGAUAUGACAUAGAACACCAAUUGCGAAGGCAGCUCACUACGCAGUUAUUGACGCUGAGGCACGAAAGCGUGGGGAUCAAACAGG